ACCCCGGUAGUGCAAUGGUUAGCACGCGCCCUUCGGAAAGGGUGAGAAGCGGGUUAAACUCUCGCCCGGAGUU